rnacentral:rRNA from 1 species
CCAAUAGCGUAUAUUAAAGUUGUUGCAGUUAAAAAGCUCGUAGUUGAACUUCGGGGUCUACCCAUUGGUCAGGCUUAAUUGUCUGCACUGGUGAGAUGGAUCUCUACCUUCUGAGGAACUUUCAUGCCAUUUAUUUGGUGUGAUUGGAAAUCAGGACUGUUACUUUGAAAAAAUUAGAGUGUUUAAAGCAGACUAUCGUCUUAAUACAUUAGCAUGGAAUAAUGAAAUAGGACGGACUGAUUCUAUUUCGUUGGUUUCUAGGAUCACCGUAAUGAUUAAUAGUGAUAGUUGGGGGCAUUAGUAUUCAAUUGUCAGAGGUGAAAUUCUUUGAUUUAUUGAAGACUAACCACUGCGAAAGCAUUUGCCAAGGAUGUUUUCAUUAAUCAAGAACGAAAGUUAGGGGAUCGAAGACGAUCAGAUACCGUCGUAGUCUUAACCAUACACUAUGCCGACUAGGGAUCGGACGAAGUUAAUUUUAUAAUGACGCCUUCUGCACCUUACG